GGAUUAGAUACCCCACUAUGCUUAGCCGUAAACCAGCGAAAAAUCCCGCUCGCCAGAGAACUACAAGCAGCAGCUUAAAACUCAAAAGACUUGACAGUAUUUCACACCGACCUAGAGGAGCCUGUCCUACAAUCGAUAACCCACGCUAAACCUCACCCACCUUUGCAUAAACAGUCUAUAUACCUCCGUCGCCAGCCCGCCUGAAAACAGACACAAAGCGGGUAUAAUAGCCCAUCGCUAAUACGACAGGUCAAGGUGUAACUAAUAGGUCGGGCAGAGAUGGGCUACAUUUUCUAAAAUUGAACAUACCAACCUCACUAUGAAACUUGUGAUAAAAGGUGGAUUUAGCAGUAAGUAAGGACAAGAAAAGCCCAACUGAAACGCGCCCUGAAAUGUGUACACACCGCCCGUCACCCUCA
rnacentral:rRNA from 1 species